UGAUCUUGGCUCACUGCAACCUCCGCCUCCCGAGCUCAAGUGAUCCUCCCACCUCAGCUUCCUGAGAAGCUGGGACUACAGAAAUGAAGUCUCACUAUGUUGACCAGGGUGGUCUCCAACUCCUAGGCUCCAGCCAUACUCCCUUCUCAGCCUCCCAAAGUGCAAUUCUCCGUCCUCAGCCACCGAAAGCCCUGGGAUUAAAGGCAUGAGCCACUGCACCUGGCUCACACACAUUUUGAGAAUUUGAAAACAACUCUAUUGUGUUAAACGCUGAAAUUCUGAGAUUCCUGCAGGUAGACACCAAGGAUCUCCUCAGAGCCAGCGCUGAUCUCAUCCACAGAGGGAUCACAUGACCUCAUCUGGGAAAAUAUAAACCCUACCCACCUGCCUGCCCGUUUGGAAAUGCAGACUGCAGGACGCUAAGUUCAUUCUUACCUAUGUACUAAUAACAAGUACACAAGAAGAUGCUCAAUAUCAUUAGUCCUUGGGGAAAUGCAUAUUAGAUUAUAAUGAGAUUCCAGUGUACACCCACUAGAAGGCUAUUAAAAAGGACAAUACCAACUGUUGGCAACAAUGUGGAGAAAUGGAACCCCUCCUACGUUUCUGAUGAGAAUGUAAAAUGGUGCAGAUACUUUGGAAAACAGUUUGGCAAUUUAUUAAAAGAUUAAAUAAGCAUAAA